GAUGAACGCUAGCGGUGUGCCUAAUGCAUGCAAGUCGAACGGGAUCCUUUGGAUUCGUCUGAAGGUGAGAGUGGCGAACGGGUGAGUAACACGUAGGUGACCUGCCCCGGAGAGGGGGACGAACCACUGGAAACGGUGGCUAAUACCCCAGAUGUUAUUGCGCUUAGAAAGCAAUUACUAAAGUUCCGGCGCUCCGGGAGGGGCCUGCGGCCCAUCAGCUUGUUGGUAAGGUAAUGGCUUACCAAGGCUAAGACGGGUAGGGGGCGUGAGAGCGUGACCCCCCACACCUGGUACUGAGACACGGACCAGAUACCUGCGGGUAGCAGCAGCAAGGAAUAUUGCCCAAUGGACGAAAGUCUGAGGCAGCAACACCGCGUGGAGG
rnacentral:rRNA from 1 species